UGUAGACUGACGAUUAAUGGACCCUUGGGUUAAGGAACAGAUGUGGGAGGAGAUUUGGGUAAUUGUAUCUUAAUUAUAUAUUUGCAUGUGAUAUGUUUAUACUAUGUUUGAUUAGAAUAAUUUCAUAAUUGACUUCUGAUAAUUUUAUGCAGAGGAGGUACGACUUCUUAGAUUAUGAAAGACUCGAAAUGUUUGACUGUAAA
rnacentral:lncRNA from 1 species